AAGGUUGAGGCCUUGUUUCACAGACAGGGCUUAGACUAAACUAGGAUUAGGCUAUAGUUCAAUUAGAACAUAUAAAUUAUAUUUAUAAACAUGCAUAUUGAGACAAAAAAGGGGCACUGAUAUUUUAAGAUCACUCAGUGCAGGUUUCUUUCAGUUGAAACCGCUCAGACAUGUAUGUUUUAAGCCUUGUCUGUGAAAGCGGGGGUUAGUGUUUAAUUUCACAGCCAGCAUGUUCAAAAUGUUGUUUUUCUUUCUUUCAGUACCUUUUGUGAUCUCUGAUCCCCAAACUGCUCAUUGCUCUUAAGCGCCUCAUUCAUGCAGACCAGCAUAAACUCCUAGUACAGCCAAUCCUGCAAGUAGUGUUUCCAAUCUUGAGUGCAGCGCCCCCUCCUGGAGAAGAGGAAGACGACACUGAGGGCGACAGAGAGAAUCCCGAGCACUUUGCUGUUCAGGUCAGUCCCUUUGCAUGCUUCAUUUCUUUUACUCAUUCUUUCUGUACCCAUCUCACCCUCUCUCAAGCUGAUAUGCGUUCCCCUAUAGGUCAAUGACACCAUGGCUCUUUACAUGCCACAUGAAAAACUCUUCAACCAGCUGUUGCCUCUCACUCAUAUGAGCGUAAAGGAGGUCUCGUGUAUGUCUGUGCUCGCCGAAGGAUGUGAUCCACAUCUGCACCACGGUGUUGUCAUCCAUGCUUCAAACCCAGUGUCCAGGUGGUCCGUGCAGGGCUCUACGGCCUCGGACAGUUAUCGAACACCUUCAAGUCCGACUGAGAUCCAGACGUCAGUAAAUUCCAUGCUGAGCUGAUGCAGUUGUUUUCUUCAGUGAAUCAGACCAAAAUCGGCCACAUGACGCAGGCCUCCUAUGCAUUGGAGAACUUAGAGAACUUCGGUUAGAGUGCAGCCAGUGUUAAUGUUACCUUUUUUACCUUUUUAUGAUAAACCUAAUCAAUAUAAUUGGCUAUAUUUAUUUAUUUUAUUUUACAUUUAUUUAUAAUAAUAAUUAUAAUCAACUGUACUAAAAAAAAUAAAAAAAAUAAUAAAUAAUAAAAAAACACACACACAUAUAUAUAUAUAUAUAUAUAUAUAUAUAUAUAUAUAUAUAUAUAUAUAUAUAUAUAUAUAUAUAUAUAUAUACUUUAUAUAGGC
rnacentral:lncRNA from 1 species